rnacentral:sRNA from 1 species
AAGAAAAGAAAUCAUUAACCCCAGCUGUGCCAGUUGAAUCUAAACCGGAUAAACCAUCGGGAAAGUCAGGCAUGGAUGCUGCUUUGGAUGACUUAAUAGAUACUUUAGGAGGACCUGAAGAAACUGAAGAAGAAAAUACAACGUACACUGGACCAGAAGUUUCAGAUCCAAUGAGUUCCACCUACAUAGAGGAAUUGGGUAAAAGAGAAGUCACAAUUCCUCCAAAAUAUAGGGAACUAUUGGCUAAACCCAUGGGGCCAGAUGAUGCUAUAGACGCCUUGUCAUCUGACUUCACCUGUGGGUCGCCUACAGCUGCUGGAAAGAAAACUGAAAAAGAGGAAUCUACAGAAGUUUUAAAAGCUCAGUCAGCAGGGACAGUCAGAAGUGCUGCUCCACCCCAAGAGAAGAAAAGAAAGGUGGAGAAGGUAUAGUCACAGUCUACCUGACAGCAGUUGCUUUCCAGAGCCUGAUGUAGCUCAUUCAGGAAACUGCGAGUAGCACAUAACCCAUGAUGAGAAGCCAUGAUUUUUUCCCUCUCAGGUCUAUGUGGAAUAGUGAAGCCAGUGAGGGUUAUGUUGAUCAUCUCCAGGCAAGCCUUGUGUGUUUCUGUAACUGCCUGUGAAUGAUUUUAGCACAGUUGUCUCAGUCAUCAUC